GGACAGUGUACACACAUCCUGAACUGAAAAACAAAGACCAACAACAGAAAGCUGUUCUCCGUGGCCUGGUGUGAUUAGAGGGCUGAAAUGACAGGCAUGGACCACCACCCCAGAUUUGGUGGGGGAAGCAUUCUGCCGUAGCACCAAUGUGGAAGUCAGAAGACAAUUUGCAAAAGCUGGUUUUCUUCUUCUGCCAUAACAAGAUAUUGAACUCUCAACUCCUCCUGCACUAUGCCUGCCUGGAUGCUGCCAUGCUCCAACUUGAUGAUAACAGACUGAACCUCUGAACCUGUAAACCAGCACCAAUUAAAUGUUGUCCUUAU
rnacentral:lncRNA from 1 species